rnacentral:tRNA from 1 species
UGUACGUAAUUUAAAAAAAAAUAUCAAGCUGUGACCAUGACAAUAGGAGCCACUCCUCGCACACCGA